CGACGCUGCGUUUGAGCGGGUGCGGUGUCCCUCGGGUGGCUUCGCCCACUAAGCAACGGUGCGAGAGGAAAAGCUUGUUGGUAACUGGGGCUGCUUGGCUAAAACCCGAGUGGCGCUUUUAAGAGUGAGCAAGAGGC
ensembl:snoRNA small nucleolar RNA SNORA76